UCCUGGUGGCUGGGAUAGCGGAUUGUGAACUGGCCUGGUGUAGCUUUAUUUCCUACUUGAAAACAUGGAGUUUAUUUGGAAUUUGACAUAGCCAGAUCGGAUGCUCUAUGUAUCUUUUAAUUCUUUUGGAUCAUAAUGUGGAAGAAGGAAAACCUGCGGAAGAAUUUUCUGCGUGUAAAGCAGAUAGCGGAUCAGAAUUUAGGAAGGGUUACUUUUCGAGGAGUCAGCCUUGGCAACAAAGUUGAGAAGUCAGAGGUUUUAUCCGAGGAAUUCCAGAGUGUGGAGAAGAGAGUUGAAAAUGUCAAGACUGUCUCGUCCACCAUCAGCAAAAAGCUGUCUGCCACCCUCAAAGCCCAGCAAGGAGAUGUGGAGAAGAGACUGAAAAAGUUACCAGAAACGUCCUUGGGGUACAGUUUGAUAGAGGCAGCUGGUAUUCUGGGUACAGAGACUCUUCUGGGCCUGGUGUGUCAAAUCUGUGGUGAGUGCCAGAGCAAGCUAGCCCGGGAACAACUUCAGUAUGAGAUCAACGUGGAGAAGGAGGUGCUCACACCCCUACUGUGUGUACAGGAGGCGGACAUCCCUGCCAUCAAUAAGGUGCGAAAACAGCUGACAAAGUCCACGCUGGAUAUGGACUCCGCCAAAAACAGGCUGAAUGCUGCUGUGCGGCAGUCUCACGUUCCAGGGACAAACAUCUCCUCAGCAGCAGCGAAGGCAGACACAAUUAAGGAUGAGUACGAAGAUGCCACGAACAAAGUGGAGCAGGUUAAGGAUGGCCUUGCUAUUGAGUUGUCCAACUUUGUUGCCAAGGAAACCGAGCACAGUACAAGACUACUAGAACUUUUACAAUCACAAGCAGAGUAUCAUAAAAAGGCUCUGGAAUUCAUUGAAGAAGUCAUCCCAAAAAUGAAAACAUCAAUAGAAAACUACCCCAACAAGCCAGUGUAUGGAACGUCUCUGGUGGAGCACCUGCGUGUGACGGGGAGAGACAUUGCUCUGGUGUUCGAGGCCUGUAUUGUCACACUACUGGAGACAGGCAUGGAAGAGGAGGGUUUAUUUAGAAUAGCAGGUGCUGCAAUUAAACUUAAAAAAUUAAAGGCUGUGUUUGAUGCACAUCUCAUUGACAUGGAGGAAUUUGUUACAGAACCACACGUCAUAGCAGGAGCAUUGAAGCAGUACAUGAGAGAACUUCCAGAACCACUUCUCACCUACUCUCUGUAUCAAGACUUCAUGCAGGCAGCAACAUUGCCACAUGAACAAAGAUUACAAGCUCUCUGGACUGUGGUGUCAAAACUGCCAAAACCAAAUUAUGACAACUUCAGGUAUUUGGUGAAAUUUCUGGCCAAGUUGGCAGAGAGGAGUGACGUGAACAAGAUGACUCCAAGUAACAUUGCAAUUGUGAUAGGCCCCAACCUUUUGUGGUCGCAAGGGGAGAGUGCCCCCAACAUGCUGACAACAGGGACGCUGAGUUCUAUAAUAGAGGCGUUUGUGAUGCAUUCAGACUACUUCUUCCCUGGAGAUCUUGACUUUCAUUUGACCAGUCGCGGGAGCCAGCCAUCACAUAUGAAACUGCAAAGUGGAAUUGACGUAGGUGCUUACCCAAAACUGAACGUUGUAGCACCAGCUAGUGUUUCUCAGAGUGAGGCCAUGACCUCCACCGCUGUGGCCAACCAUUCGGAAGGCAAGACACUUCUCCAGCUGACUGAAACAUGUGCCACAAUGUCACAGGACAAGUCAGAGAGUGCCCAUCAUAGUGUGGAGGGUGAUGGCGCCAAUGUGGCUGCCAGGCUUAGCCAAGGUGACAGGACUCUUGCAUCUAAAGGUCGCAUUAACAGCUCGUCUACACUCACCACUACUAACCCCCUUCUAGACUCUAACCAGUCUGAUGUACUGUACAACGCACGUUCGAGCUCUGUUCCACCUACGCCUGUGACUAAGAGCUUUCAUUCAGAUGUAUACAGCACCGUGUUUGCACUCCAGUCUCUUGGCGACGGAGCAUGGAAUGAUUAUCUUACUAAAGUGCGUGCAAUGUGGGAUGGGCAGUAUACACAGCAUCCAGCAGCCCCUCGACCGACUGACCUUGCAGGAGCCAGCAGUGGGGUCGCAGGAGGUCAACCAAGCCACAGAGGUCAAGAACUAGACUUUACCAAUACGGGAGGUCUUCCUCUACAAGCGACAAGCCCCCAGCAACGAUUUGGCAAUGCAGUAGCUCCCUCUGCUGGUCCUCCUUCCCCAGGUUGUCAAGGGGAGACAACCCAGCUACUCCCAUCACCUACUACAGUUCCUCAGGGGCCAUCUCUGUUAGGGGGAAGUUCCCCCCCAGGCGGGGCUAACGGAAGCAACACGAGUUCUACCAGUAGUCUGACUGCCACCUCUGCAGAGAGCCCGGAACUCGGAACCAGCCCCAAGGUUCAACGUCGAGUCAGCCGGAAGCCAGCCCCGCCCCCUCCAUAUGCCGUGGCCGUGACCGCCACAUACAACAAUCGCAACAGUCAGUCACAGACACAGUCACAAACAUGGCCUAGAAAUGCCCCCUUGGCUUCACCCGAGUCACCCUCAGAGUCAGACAAAGAAGACAAUGAAAGAGUCCGACCCUGUCCCCCAGAGAAACCCCCACCCCUCAUCAGCUCCACCCCCACCCUGAACGUCCAACUGGACCACCCCCAGACCGGCCAGCAGGACCCCCUCCAGAGAGACCCAAAGCUCCACCUCCAGUUGUCCCCCCUGGCCAUCAGAGGUCAGCAUCGACUGGCGCCAUGUUUACAGUAGUUGGUAUGCCAGGCGCAGCCAAUGGACAAGGGACAGAAGAAACACCCCAGGACCAGUGUUGACUGGUAGGCAUGCAAGGUUGUGCAAGAGAAAUCAUGACCGAGGCACUUUAGUGUAACAGUCCCUAGGGUUUGUAUCUCAACUGACAGGGGGAAACAGUGGGCAUAGGACAAUGUGCUCUUUGUUUACCUCUUCAAACACAAAGAAUUCAAUCUUUUCUUGACACUAUGCCAUGUUUUAACUAUGUCUGUGACUGUAGUUUGUGAAUUUUGAAACAAAUUUGGAACAACCUGUAGGGAGGAUAUCCAAAUAAUUUUUGUUCUCAGUGCUAAAGUAACAUAUGACGAGGAUGUGUGCCAAAAUAUCUCUUCAUAUACCAUAUUUACUGAAGUUUGUCAUUACACAAUUGAUUUUAACUAUGAAAAGUUCACAUGCCAGUAGAUUCAUAACAUUUUUUUAUGUUCUAUUUUCCUGUGUUUUUAUGAUUUCAACAUUCAUCACAUGACACCGCUUGUUUUACCACCAUUCAUUACCAUUUCUGUGUCAUAAUCUUAGUCCGAAGUAAACUAAAGGACAUACAAAGUGUGAUAACGGCCAAUCUUAGCAAACAAGAAUUGUUGAACAACUUCCCCAAAAUGUGACAAGUUACAUAUUUGAUGCUGAUUUUAUUAAUUUAGAACAAGGAUCAUAUCUGUGGUAAGCUUUAUCAAAGAAGAAACUGUGAUGUCAACUUAUUUUGUUUGUUUAGAAAAGAAAGUCAGCCUCAGAUGCAUCAGUGGUUAGGUUCGCAUCAUUAACAUCUUGAUUUACACCUACAACCAAAAUAUGAAAUAAAGUGGGUGUCAUUUGUUCAGAUAAGAAGAUUCAAGUUUAGUGUGGUCCACAGACAAACGGUGUUACACUUUCUCCCAAUUUUGUACAAACUAGUCAAUCUGUCGCAUGUGAAUAGCCAUGUGUAUAUUUCCCAUAUCACCAUACUACGAAACUACAUUGUGCAAUUGUAUGUGAAGCUAUUGGCUCAAGUUAUUGAAGACCAGCUGGGUUGUUGUAGUGACCUGGUUCCCUCCUUCAGGAGUUCAAGUUUUUACAUCCCCCAACUAAAACCACUGAACCAACAAACUUAAACUUUGCAUGGAUGUUCUUACUAAUUGUGUCUAAAGAUUGCUCAAUUACUCUGUAUUUCAUUAUUGCUUACACACUUGUAACACACAGCAUACAGAAGCUGCAUUUUGGACCAUUACUCUGCCGUGAUUGCAUGGAUUAUCCUACCAAUUAUCUCACUAAGAAUUUAUUCAGUUAUCUGCUUGAAAAUAUUGGUUAUCGUUAUUCAACAUUUCAAAAUAUUAUUUCAUAGGUAAAAGGGUUUUCUUCAAUUUGGACAUGCAUCAUCAUGAUUCCCAGAUCUUCUAAAACAAAAGUUUGGCUUUUGUUAGAGUGUAAAGAACUCUCUUUGACUUUGACUACAUUUGCCACACGCAUUUGAUAAACGUAGUAAAUCUCCUGUGGCAUAAAGUAGUCUCCAAAACUGAUGAGACUCGAUUUCAUCAAGACUCGUGAAACACUUUUAUCUCAAUAUGAAAGAAAUAGAUGCAUUUAAUUUAUAUAUGUUUGUAAGUUGCACUGAAAAUUACAGUUUCUGAAAAUUGGAUAAGCCGAGUAUAAGAUGUUGAAAAUGGAAUAUUUGGGAAGAAAUGCAUGUUUGAAUGUGGAAACAAGGUCUAUUAACUGAUAUUUUGUGGUCAAGGAAACCAGGGGGAUACACUAAGUAUAGGAGGAUUGUUAUGUGGCCAUUAUGUUGAAUACUUUGAUAGCUUUGAACAUUUUCUAGAUGUAUUUAAUGCGUGACAUAACAAUAGUUCUCUGUGUGUGAAAAUAUAUUUGACAGAAGAUGGAGGGGCGUGAAACAUAUCACCUUGUCUCAGUCCAGUCCUAUUAACCCUGUCAUUGCAGAAAUGGAAUGCAUACAUAUUGAUCCAUGAAACUGUAUAAAACAAUAACAUUUUUCAGCUAUUUUAACUCAGCGCAAAAUUUCACCUUCUUGUUACAUUUUGCUAGAUGUGUUGAGAUGUUGCUGUAGAGAUCUCAGAGCACUGCAUUCGAGUGUUGUUGAUGUUCUUGCUGCGAGACUGUGAGAGCUGUUGCUUGUACACAUUUUGUAUGUAUAUAUGAAUGUAUGUGAUGAGACUGGUCACUUUCAUCUGGACCUUUUACCCAAGAUUUUACCCAAGUUCAUGCUCGAGUAGGGAAUUGCAACUGUACAGGUUAACACACAAUAGUGGUCUUGACGAAACAUUCACAGGAUUGUAAUUAGCCAUCUCCUUCAUGUGUGCAGUAUCACUGAUCACAUAACAUCUCAUACUUUGUGAGGGGCCACCCAAGGUCCAGAUGAAAUGUUGGUCCACUGUUGGUCCAUGACCACCUGCUAUCUAGCCUGAGCUGGCAUCUCAACACUGUACGGUGUCAAUAAAGUCUUCACAGUAUCUGUAAAAGAUGCAUUGAACAUAAAAACACUCUGUUUAUGUCAUGUGAGAGAUGUAUCCCAACUUAAUGACAGUGUAAGAGUGAUUCAGGUUAAGACCGGGUUAUAAGUCCUCAAAGCGUUCACAGCAUUGCGAUAUUCCCAAGCGUAUGAUACAUUUACAAUAGCUUGUAAUGCUAUGAAUGCUUUAUGGAUCAAGACCCUGGAGUGGAAGUGCGGAUAUUUGACUGUUGAGAUGCCAACAGGAACUCUACUGUGUAAUAGCCCCUGCAUAUUAUCAGUGAUCAUAAUGUGUGAUGUGUACGGAUGUACCAUAUAGUACCUCCCCUCCAGCUGAGAACAGCUUGUGUACUUAUUCUAUGUGACACAGUGUCUGAUGUAUAAUUCAUUCAUCAUAGGACAGCUUGUACAGAUCUUUGCUUAAUAUAAAAAAUACAUUUAUUAAAAUCAUCAUGCUCUCA
rnacentral:misc_RNA from 1 species